rnacentral:rRNA from 1 species
GAUGAACGCUGGCGGCAUGCCUUACACAUGCAAGUCGAACGGCCACACGGGUGCUUGCACCUGGUGGCGAGUGGCGCACGGGUGAGUGAUACAUCGGGACAUGUCCUGUAUUGGGGGAUAGCCCGGCGGGAGCCGGAUUGAUACCACAGACGAACUACGGGAGACACCUGGUGAACUAGUGAACUCGCGCUAUGGUGUUGCUUGAUGACGGAUUAGCUAGUUGGUGGGGUAAAGGCCUACCAAGGCGACGAUCAGUAGCCGGUCUGAGAGGACGACCAGCCACACUGGAACUGAGACACGGUCCAGACUCCUACGGGAGGCAGCAGUGGGGAAUUUUGGACAAUGGGCGAAAGCCUGACCCAGCAAUGCCGCGUGUGUGAAGAAGGCCUUCGGGUCGUAAAGCACUGUUGUCAGGAAAGAAAACAUGGGUCCUAAAACGGUCGGGGGAUGACGGUACCGGAAGAAUAAGCAACGGCUAACUACGUG